GUCUACCAUUUGGGACUUUCUUAGGCUAUCCACAUCAGCAACUCUUCCAUGGUUGAUCCACAUCAGCAUCCUCAAAAUUAACUUCUUCUUCCACUAUGAUUCGGCAGUUACAUCCUCCUGAUUUUCAAUUUCCACUAUCAUCAUAACUACCCUUAAACCCCAUCCUCUUUCACGGUUACGAAAUUUCCAUCUCCCCCCUUCCAAUCUUCUUCUACAGCGGUUUCACAAAACCCUUUCUCUUCCAAAUAGUUUCUAAUUUCUCUGUAACAUGGAUUCGUUAAACUUUCUCUGUUACAGUUACAAAUACUUUAAUUCUCUACCCAUCCACGAUCUAAACUGCUACACUUUUUGUUGAUCAAUAUACGCCCAUCCACGUUCCAAUCUUCUUCUUCUACAGCGGUUUCAGACAACCAUUUAUCUUUCAUUGGGCUUCUGAUUUAUUCGUCUUUUCUCUCUUUCAACUUUGAUUUUGAUUUAGUUUUCAAAGUUUCAGGUUUCAUGGUGUUGGCUCACACGGAAGAGGAAAGAUCCAUCGCCGAUACAGUUUCUGAUGAUGCGUCGGUGUUGGUUGUGGUGGACGGAGAUUAAUACUCUAAAAGAGGUUCGAUGAUGAAGCACAAGUUUGCUUGGCCAUAAAAAAGAAAGGAUGGCGAUGAGAGAGAUUGAUCGGUUCUUUUUAGUAUUUUGAUUUUGUUUAUGCUUUGAAUUUCAGGUGGCUGUUCGUUUUGAUUUGGGUUUCUAAUGUUGUCUCAGGAGGGAUAAAGUACGGGAAUGGUAUAACAUGGUAUAUCUUGCCAUCAUUUCAGUAUUUGGAUGGGCUUAUAGCUUGCCACUUACAUUCAGCAUUCAGGAUUUUGCGUAUCUUUAUGAUCCAAACAAUGAGAUUGCUGGAGCGUGAAGCUGAAUUUUCUAUAUUUGUUAAAUUUUGAUUUCAUUUUCUGAUUCAGGAUGAUUGAAGAAUUCCUAGAUAGAUACGGGCGGCGGAAAACCAAUGGCUGGAAGAUGUUUCGGAAUCCUUUGAAGCUUCACGACUCAACAUCAUCAUCAACGCAAAAACAACAGCCUCAGGCAUCACUGCUCGGAAGCAUGGACUUCAUCUUUGGCAAUAACACUUCUCUUUUGGAGCACUGUCAUAUCCAAUGCAAAUAUGUAGAGUUUCAGUAUCGCACAGGCUAGAAAAUCAUCGUAGGAAACAACCGAUUAUGUAUUCUUGAGAUGCGUUAUCACAAGUAACCGAGAAAUUUCAUAUGCAUAUCUUGGACGACCGUGGGGACCUUUUGGAAGGGUGGUUUUUGCAUGCACUUACAUCGAUCCGGUAUAAGACAAGUUGUGGAGCAGGCACUAAUGCCGAUACAGUGGCAUUAACAGGUGCUUACAUUGCAGCUGCUUCUAAUGUGGUUCCGUUUUCGACGCUACAACAAAUGGUUUUCAUCCGUCCGACUACUUCUCCGCUUUACUUGACUGUCGUGACGCUGAUAUCGAAGAUUUUAUAACAGGUUUCUGCUGGGUUUCUUCGGUUGGCUUCAACGGAUAUCGAACAUAACAAAAGAAAGGGAAAAAUACAAUGCUCAGUGACCCUCUGCAAUAUCUGUCUUUCUAUGUCACAAUAGAUGAAUGCUCUUUUGUGUUGAUGUUGAUGUUGGAUUGGUAGACACAAUGACGGAUAAGACGAGAUGGUUAUGGAAGCGGAAGUCUUCUAAGAAGAGUUUGGGUGAAGUUGAGAGUUCCGGAUCUGUUUCCUCUCAUUCUGAGAGGUAUUUUGAUGAACAGGUAUGAAUGAUUGAUUAUCCGUGUUCUUUGGAUUUUAGGAGUGCUGUUGUUGUUUGCUGGGAUUGAAUUGGCUAUAAUGGUUUGCAGGGAUAUGAGUAAGAAAAAGGAUUGUUUUGUUAUGCGUAUUUGUAGUGUUUCUGAGAGAAUUGGAUUUAAUAGCUGAUUUGAUGACAAUGGUUCUUCUUACAUGCCUUCUCACCUCUAAAUUGUACACUUAUUUUAGUUCUGUUUUAUCUGUAAAGGUAUGCUAGGCAUAACUUAUAAACAGACAAAAUAUCAGGUUAAUAGUUAGUACUAAGGAUGCACCAGUUGUGAUAUGGUUGACUGGAGGGCCAAGUUGUAGCAGCGAACUA